rnacentral:rRNA from 1 species
GACGAACGCUGGCGGCGUGCCUAAUACAUGCAAGUCGAACGAGAGCGACCGGUGCUUGCACUGGUCAAUCUAGUGGCGAACGGGUGAGUAACACGUGGGUAACCUGCCCAUCAGAGGGGGAUAACAUUCGGAAACGGAUGCUAAAACCGCAUAGGUCCUUUAACCGCAUGGUUGAAGGAGGAAAAGAGGCGCAAGCUUCUGCUGAUGGAUGGACCCGCGGUGCAUUAGCUAGUUGGUGAGGUAACGGCUCACCAAGGCCGUGAUGCAUAGCCGACCUGAGAGGGUGAUCGGCCACAUUGGGACUGAGACACGGCCCAAACUCCUACGGGAGGCAGCAGUAGGGAAUCUUCCGCAAUGGACGCAAGUCUGACGGAGCAACGCCGCGUGAGUGAAGAAGGUUUUCGGAUCGUAAAACUCUGUUGUUAGAGAAGAACAAGUGCUAGAGUAACUGUUAGCGCCU